AGGCCAUUGGAGGCUGCGGGAGCCAGGGGGCGGGGCGGGUCCCCCCGGAGUCCUGACAGAGCGCGCUGGGCGGCGGAGCCGGGCGCCGGGCGCCGGACCGGAGCUGGGCGGGCGGCCGGGCGGCCGGGCGGCCGCGGUGGUGAGGGCGGGAGGGUCCCGGCGCGGACAGGGGCUCGCAGGGGGAGUUACGGUGCCGAGAUGGGUGCCUGGCCGCGUCUCCCGACAGCAGUCCCGUCUUUGUCCCGGCGGGGACCGCUCGGAGACGGCAUCUGUCAGCGCUCGCCCCUCCUCUCGCCUCCUCCUCCGGCCGGGCCGGACUCGGCCGGCGGGGGACGCGGAGCCGGCGCGGCGCGCCCAUCAGCUGUCAGGCGAGUGUGGCGGGGCGGCCGCGGGCGGCGGCGAGAGAGACACACAAAGAAGGCGGCGGCGAGCGGCGCUGCGGGAAAGGGGCGUCAGUUUCGGGACGGCUACUCCCGGCCGCGCCCGCUCGUGCCGCCGCCGCCGCCACCGCCGCCGGUCCGAGGCCGCGGAGACAAUACGGCCGCGCUCCAUCCCCGCGCCCGCGCCCCCCCUUCCCGGCGCCUCCCGGACGGGGCCGGGCUCGCCCAACCUCCCCUCCACCCCCUCCCGGCCCGCCGGCUCCCCGCCCGGGGCAGCGGCGCCCCCUCGCUCGCUCUCGCGGCCGGGGAAGGAAGUCGCGGUCCGCGGCCGCCCAGCCCGGCAACUUGCGAGCCGGGAAAAGUUUGUGGCGGCGUCUUCGCGGGGCGGCCCCGGCCCCCGGCGCACGCGGUGCCGGCCGGGGACUCCGUGGGCUCGGCGUCCGGCUGCGCGGACCGCGGGGACUGCGGCGGGGAGGCCGGAGCCCGUGCGGCCGGAGCCGGUGCGCGGGCUCUGCGCCCGGGCCUGCGGCUCUGGAGAGUUGCUAUCGAAGAAGGACAAAAGAGGAAGACAAUGCCGGAGGAGGUGUGCACAAUCCAUGGGAAAACUUUUCCAGUAAAUUUCUACAGCCCAUGGCCAGUUUCAUGAUACAAAGACCAGACCAGUUCUAGGUAUGCUUUCUACAGAAGGAAGCAGAGACUACUUGUGUUUCUUGCCUUAAGGAUGUCAGUGCAGCAUUCAGAGACCAGAGGGGCUGGAAGUUAGAUGAACAUGCAGGAAAAGAAAGGUGGAACCAUAGGACGAAGCAUCAUUCUCUAAUAGACCUUGUUAUUCCAUUCUACUUUUCUCCUGAUUGUUGCUUACUCUUUCAAAAACCAGCUGACUAUACAAAUUGUUUCUGGGAGCAUAUUUCAGAGCAAAAGUGAUACAUAAAAGCAGCACGUAAGUCUUGUUCUUGUCAGAAUUUACAGUAUUUGAAAUAAGUCUUAUUUUCAUUGAGAGUCUAACUUCACUUAAAUGUAGUAUUUAAUGUUAAAUGUGCACUUUAUGUUGUUAACAUGAUUUAAUUUCCAUGUUUGGUCACUUUCACUCGAAGGAUUUUAAUUACAUAAUACAUGCUGGAGUCAUUUUAAGUAACUCUGCCUUUGCCUGUUUGUUCCUUGUAGCUACCAGUAAUGGAUAAAAUCUGUUUGCAUAUAUCAUCUUAGUACAUCAUAGACUUUUAUAGGAACUUGGCAAUUGAAUAAUAGACAUUCACGAAGCUUUUUGUUUUGAAUGUGAGAUAUCUUUUAAGAAUAUUUUUAUUUGAAUGAGACUUCAGUGAUGUACAGACUUGCUGCCAAUACAUCUUAGAAACACCUGCUGGGGAACCUUCUUCAGGUUAACAGUUUCGGAAAGCAGAUCCCUGUUGACAGUGAGCAACUGUAAACAUCCUCGACUGGAAGCUGUGAGGCCACAGAUGGGCUUUCAGUCGGAUGUUUGCAGCUGCCUACUGCCCCAGACUUCAAGGAGCUGCUUUAGGGGCUAUUAUCUUGUUAACUAGAACUGAAUACCUUGCUUUCUCUUUGAUAUGUUUUUACAAAGCUUGGAUGAAAGUGGUCUAAAUUAAAUAACUUUGAACCAUUUCUGUACAUUUUUAGAGGACUUUAGCAGGGCAGGAGAAGUGCUCUGUGUCUGCAUAGAAUUUGCAAAUGGGAGGCAUCUGUAAUACUCUCAAUAAUAGAAACUAAUUGUUAAAAACAGCAAAGUAUUCCUGAAGGAGGAAGGAAAUGUAUUAUAGUAUUUUUGUUCUUAUAAAAAGUGUACUAAGACAAUAUUUUACAAAUCACUCUAAAAAAUGAUUUGUGUUCUCCUACUGUUUAUCUGUAAUUUCAAAAUAAGUAUUUUUAAAGAGUCAUUCACUAACAUUUCUAUUAAUGAAAUUAAAUUAUUUGGAAAGAAAAAAAAGUAAAGGCUAGAGUGAAGAGUUAAUUUAGUUUGUUUGGAUUAAAUCUCUUAUUUUUUCAUAGGUUCGGUUUUUAAGUAAUAAAGUAGUUUUCAGUUUAAUAAGAUACUUAAACUAAUAUUGACUCAACUAACUCUUAUUUGAAAAAUCUAUUUGUCCUGGUUUUAGCUGAUGAGAUAGUAUUUUAGGCAUUUGUUGAUACUGCCCCUAUUCAAUCGAACUCUUAACUUUGCUUUAUAUAAUAGGAUAUAUCUCUUUAAAAUAUAUGAAAACAAGCUAAGUUUUUUAAAAGAACCUGGUUUGGGAUCUCUGUGAAAGAAAUCUAAUUUCUAACUUGUUUUUUGUUGUUGUUUUUUUUUUUUGUGUGUGUGUGUGUGUGUUUUUGUAAAUCUAUAUUUGUCUUAUGGAACAUUUGUUUAAUAUGAAACACUUAAAUAGUAGAAGUGAGACACUUUAAAAGGAGAUGAGGGCAGCAUCCUUUAUCCU